CCUACGAGAGGCAGCAGUGGGGAAUAUUGGGCAAUGGAGGAAACUCUGACCCAGCAAUGCCGCGUGAAUGAAGCAGGUCUUCGGCUUGUAACGUUCUUUAGUCAGGGAAGAAUAAAAUCACGGUCUCUGAAGAAUAAGCUCCCGCUCACUACGUGCCAGCAGCCGCCGUAAUACGUAGGGAGCAAGCGUUGCUCGGAAUGUAUGGGCGUAAAGGGUGCGGAUGCGGUUAUACAAGUUAGAAGUUGAAUCCCCAGGGCGUAACUCGGGUGCUGAUUGUAAAACUGUAAGACUUGAGUGCAGUAGAGGUUAGUGGAAGUCCUGGUGUAGCGGUGGAAUGCGUAGAGAUUAGGAGGAACACCAGAGGCGAAGGCGGCUAACUGGACUGCAACUGACGCUGAGGCACGAAAGUGUGGGGAGCAAACAGGAGUAGAUACCCUAGUAGUC
rnacentral:rRNA from 1 species